UACAGAGGGUGCAAGCGUUAAUCGGAAUUACUGGGCGUAAAGGGCGCGUAGGUGGUUGUGUAAGUGAGAUGUGAAAUCCCCGGGCUUAACCUGGGAACUGCAUCUUAAACUGCAUAGCUGGAGUGCGAUAGAGGGUAGUGGAAUUUCCGGUGUAGCGGUGAAAUGCGUAGAUAUCGGAAGGAACACCAGUGGCGAAGGCGGCUACCUGGAUUGACACUGACACUGAGGCGCGAAAGCGUGGGGAUCAAAC
rnacentral:rRNA from 1 species